rnacentral:rRNA from 1 species
AUUGAACGCUGGCGGCAGGCCUAACACAUGCAAGUCGAGCGAGCGGCGGACGGGUGAGUAAUGUCUGGGAAACUGCCUGAUGGAGGGGGAUAACUACUGGAAACGGUAGCUAAUACCGCAUACCAUCAGAAGGGCCCAGGUGGGAUUAGCGAGUAGGUGGGGUAACGGCUCACCUAGGCGACGAUCCCUAGCUGGUCUGAGAGGAUGACCAGCCACACUGGAACUGAGACACGGUCCAGACUCCUACGGUAGGCAGCAGUUGGCAAGAUUGCACAAGGGGCGCAAGCCUAAUGCAGCCAUGCCGCGUGUUUGAAGAAGGCCUUCGGGUUGUAAAGCACUUUCAGCGGGGAGGCGUUACCCGCAGAAGAAGCACCGGCUAACUCCGUGCCAGCAGCCGCGGUAAUUC